rnacentral:misc_RNA from 1 species
CUCCUUAUCUCCCUUUUUCAUCCUUCACCCUCUUUUUCCACUAUUGUUUUUGAUAGACAGAGAGAAAGCGAAAGAGAGUCUCUCUUGGUCAGUUCAGUUAGUGUACUUAUACUGCACCCUCGCUGGCAUGGGCCAGUGUCAGGUGUCUGCUUUUCCCUACUUUUUCUUCUUCUUGGUGUAGCUCAUCCCUUCUCUCUUAUUUCCUUAUAUAUGUGUACUUCCGUUUAUUUAUAAUCACAAACAUAAAGUCAGAAGAGCCCCUCGAGUCUUCUUCAAUGACCAACAAAAACACCAUGAAUGUACUGUGAGCACCACUUAUGGAAAUGGGUUCGGGCUCUUUGACAGAGUCAGGUACCUCCAACGCCACUUGUUCACCUGCCGAGUCAAUAAAUGGGUUGAAAUUUGGCCAAAAAAUCUAUUUUGAGAAUGCGGGGGCUAAGACUCCGGCCAAAUCUGCACCCGGGUCUUCAUCUUCCGGGUCCGGGGCCCCGUCCAGGAAGGUUCACGGUGGGCAGCAGCAGCAGCCACCCAGGUGUCAAGUUGAGGGAUGUAAAGUGGAUCUGAGUGAUGCUAAGGCUUAUUAUUCGAGGCACAAAGUUUGUGGUAUGCACUCUAAGUCUCCUAAGGUCAUUGUUGCUGGUUUGGAGCAAAGGUUUUGCCAGCAGUGUAGUAGAUUUCAUCAGCUUCCUGAAUUUGACCAAGGAAAACGAAGUUGCCGCAGACGCCUAGCUGGUCAUAAUGAACGGCGGAGGAAGCCACCAACUGGAUCAGUGCUGUCAUCUCGCUAUAACAGACUUUUCUCAACAAUUUUUGAUAACAGCAGCCGAGCUGGGGGCAUUCUUGUGGAUUUCAGUGCUUACUCGAGGCUUAGUGGGAGGGAUGCAUGGCCGCCUGCAAGAUCCUGUGAACGGGUGCCUGGGAAUCAAACCACAGCAGUAGGAAGGUCCGUUCCUCAUCCUCCAUGGCAGAAUAGCUCUCAGAAUCCUCCAUCCAACAUUUACAUGCAAGGUUCAACAAGUGGGACUGGUUUUUCCAAUUCUGUAAUUCCUUCAGGAGAAUGCUACACAGGAGUCAGCAUCGCUGACUCUAGCUGUGCUCUCUCUCUUCUGUCAAAUCAACAAUGGGGCCCAAGAAACCAAGCAUCAGGGCUUGGGGUGAAGGACAUGGUUAAUAAUCCCCAAGGGGCUUCCAUGGCUCAAUCAACAGCUCCUCAUUGUGCUAUUGUCAAUCAAUAUCCAAACCAUACUUGGUGUUUCAAGGGCAGCGAAGCUAGUAGCAGUUCGCACCAGAUGUGCCACGAUCUGUGUCUGGGUCAGAUUUCACAGCCUCUGAACAGUCAGUUCUCUGGUGAUCUUGACUUAUCUCAACAGAAUACAAAGCAGUACAUGGAACUUGACCACUCCAGAGCAUACGACUCUUCUGCUCAGCAUAUGCACUGGUCGCUUUAAGUGACCCAUUUUGUCUGGUUAUUAUGCAAGGCUUCUGGAAGUUGGUUACUAAUAAAUUGGAAUAUGCAUGUCAGGAAAGUGAUCUCAUCUUUUGUUGGGACAAACCCAUAUUUGACUCGUUCAGCUUUAGGUCUGUAUUUGCUUAAGAUUGUAAUAUAAUAUCAAGCAAGGUGUUAUUUCUGUAAAAUUAUCUGAUGAUAGAAAUUGCUCGAGGAUAC